rnacentral:lncRNA from 1 species
CACACACACACUGUCUCGCUGUCUCACUCACACAUACAAGAGCGCGCAUGCAUACAUACACAUUUAUAUCUCUGUCAACCACAUUUUAUAUAUAUAUAUAUAUAUAUACACGCGCGCGUACAAAAACACGGACAUAGUAUUAACACACAUAGACAUCGAACACACAGACACACAGCCUACAAUCAUACAAACACACGCAUACACACACACAAAAUACAACUACACAUUUAAGUAAAUUCACAUGCGCACAUACAUCUACAUACAUAUGCAGACAUAUACAUAAACACAUAUAAUAAACAUACGAUACUAUCACAUUUAUGUAUAUGGAUACAGACACACACACACAUAUAUAUAUAUAUAUAUAUAUAUACAUAAACCGAAUACACGAACUCACAUAUCUUAUAUUACAUCGUACACACUUCACACAUUGAACAUACAAGUAUGCACACUUUGAAAAUACGGUCACAUACGCACUCGUCCACACAUUCACAUACACGCACACACAUACAUCUAUACGUUUAUCUCACACAUGCAAGCUUUUUUCUUUUUUCAAUCCGUACACUUUCAUACAUACACAUUCAUACAUUCCUGUCACACAUACAUAGCUAUAUUUUAUACGCACACACACAUACACAAAGCAUUCAUCUCACGCACACACAUACACAUACACACAAGGCAUUCAUCUCACACACACACACACGCACAUAUUCACACAGCUAUAGUCACCUCACGCACACGCAUUGCUAUAUUUUACGCACACACAUUUCACACAUACACCCAUCUUAUUCAUCUCACACAUAGCUAUAUUUUACGUACACUCACACACACGCAUAUACAUAUUCAUACAUUCAUCACACACACACACACAUGGCUAUAUUUCACGCACACACUACACACACACGCGCACACAGACAUACACACAUUACCCAGGGACACAUUCUUGAGACAAAUGAAUUGAAAUAAAUGCUAAGAGGAGACAAGAUAAACAUCCGUGGUGAUGGUGAUGGUGUAGAAUAUAUAAUUUAUCACAUAAAGCGAUAAAUGUAAGCUAUUCCUCCUAUUAUUAUGAUUCUCAUUGUUGUAGUUGUAAAUAGUUUAUAUGGAAUAUAACAGAAAUAUAUCGAAUAUAACAUGCAAUGAUAUUACCACGGAACAGAGCGUGAGUUAUUGAGGCGUGAAGAAAGCCUUUUGUGUAUUUGUUAGUGUGUAUGUGUGCGCGCGCCUCUAUGUAUGUAUGUGUAGGUGUGUGUGUGUGUGUGUGUGUAUGUGUGUCCGUUUGUGUGUGCGUCUGUGUAUGUGUGGUGUUUGAAUUUUGUGUUGUUAUUGUGGUCUUGUUAUAUACUCUUCCCUACUCCCGGGUCAGCGUAGAUUGUGUAAAUAACAUGAUCGAAAACCUUUCGACCUAUAUGGCCAUCCUAUUUUUUUUUUUUUUUUUAUAUUCAGACUUAGUGUGUGUAGGACUACAUUAUUAUCUAAGAGUAUCCUUAUUUUUUUUUUUUUGUUGUUUCUGAAAAAGACGGUAAGAUUUGAGGGGAGAGUUUGGGGGUUGAGCUGCGCUUUCUAGCGUGUGGAAGACCACGACGUAGAGCCUCCUCUCUCGUGUAUUUGUAUUUGUUGUGCUUGUAUAUAUGUAUGUAUGCACGCUUCUAUGUUGCCUCUGUGUGUGUGUGUGUGUGUGAGCCUAUAUAUAUAUAUAUAUAUAUAUAUGUGUGUGUGUGUGUGUGUGUGUGUGUGUGUGUGUGUACAUAUAUUGUAAUUGUGUGGAGAGGAACUGUUAUUGUUUUUAACCCUAGGCCAACUUGAUCGUGCUGAUCAGAUACACCAAUCAUGAUAGUCCUAUCAUGUCAGGACAAUUGAAAUUUUCCUAAUUGUUUGUGUUGUUUUUGUUUAGUCCCAGGUCAGCCCUGAUAGAGCAGACCAGUGUAGCUGCUAAGGCAUUCCAGCCGUGACUAUCCCCCGUCUUUUUUUUCUUUUUUUUUUAGGCAUUGCUUUGUCUCGUGUAUCUUGUUCUCAUGAAUUGAGAGAGAUUUGGCUACUGUUUCUAAUAGAUCGAGUGACCUGUUAGAAGCUCUCUCGGGGCUUUGAUUAUUCGUAUUCUCGUUGUUUAAGCCCCAGGUCAAAUCUGAUUGAGUAAACUAAUGGCCAAAAUCUGACCAUUUCAGUUUUGUUAGCAUAUGAGGGACUUAAUUUGCCAAAGGCAUCAUUUUUCUGUUCUCUGUUUUUACGAAUGAUUUGAAAGAGAUUUGACUGCUGUUUCUAGCACGUCGAGUGACCAAUUGAUUGUAUGUGGACUCGUAUAGUAUAAUUUAGUAGUGAUAGUGUAUAGAAGAGUAAUGUAAGUAUCACAGAGAUGAGUGCACAGAGUGGAGUAGCUUAGUGCAGUGUGCCGGAGUGUUCUUCCAACCACUUGAAGUAUUUCAAAUUUUCACCUGAUUUUUUUUUAAAUUUCCAACACUAAUUACAAAAAUUUUGGGGGGGAAAAUUAAUGUGACGCUCAUCAUCAGCCUGCAAACGUACAUUUUUUUUUAAAUAAUGAGAUAAAAAUAUGAAAUAACUUCAAGUGGUUGAAAGAAUUUUUAACAAGAUCCGAGUAACGCUAGUGUGUUGAAGGUGUUAUGCGGUUUGAGAUGUGCUGUGCGGAAUAAUGUGGAACUGGGGCUGACCUGAGGCUAAACAACAAACACGACUAGAAACCUAACCACGCUACGUUACAACACCAAUAAUAAUAAUACCAGCCCCGAGUGAGCCUCUAAACAGUCACUCGAUUUGUUAGAAAUGGCAGCCAGAUCUCCCAAGACAUAGUAUUAUAGCUUAGUGUGAAGCAGUAUAGCACAGUGUAGUUUAGUACGGUGUUUUGUAGUGUAGGAUAGUGCAAUAUAGCGAAUAGUCAAGAAGAUGUGUUAUUUAUUUGCGGUGUAAGGAAAAGAAAAGUGUAGUUAGGCUUAAGAAAACGAGAAGUUAGUUUUAUCUCUAUAUGUUGUGAAAAUAUCAUGCUAUGUAUUAUACGGUGAAGCAAAAAUAUAACAUAAUAUAGAGAAAUAUAAUGUAGUAUAAGUGUAGUGUAAGUGUAAUUGUGUUAGAGUAGAGUGGAAUAUAGUUAUGUUAAACACACCGGAGUGUUUAAUACACACUGCAAUUGUGGAAUAAAGCAGUAUAUAAAGUAAUACAGAGAAGUUUACUGCUGUUUUUUUUUUUAACCCCAGGUGAGACCUAACUGGGCAAACGUAUGAUCAAUAACGUUCCACUCGUGACAUGACCAUUGACCGUUUUCUGUGUGAGUGUGGUGAGCGUGUGUGUGUGCUGUACAAUGUGGACGAUUUUAUUUUAUGUAUAUAUAUAUACGUCGGGAAGGUGUUCUUUGAGGGUGAUUUGGCUAUUUCUUCUAUUCGCUGUAUGAAAUAAACGUGUGGUUUUUUUUUUUUUUUUUGAAGUUCAAAAUCGAAUUAAACGUUUGCGAUUGUUGUUGUUGUUCUUGUUGAUGUCGUUGUCGUCAACGUUAUUGAUGUAGGUGUUGUUAUUGUUGUUGCUGCUGCUACUGCUGAUAUAUAUAUAUAUAUAUACUUGCUUUCGGUAUAAUUUGUUCAACCCCAUUCCUAAGUUUUCCAAUAACGCUAGCAGACACAUUCACACGCAAACACAUAAACGCGACGCAUAUAAAUUUUUACUCAAACACACACAGACACAAACGUACACAAUUACACACACACACACACACAUACAUCCACAUUACCAAAACUCACUUUUUCUCUUUCUCCACAGCCGCCGAUGUUUCUCAGUCGAAAGGAAGCAGAGCAGUCCAAGAAAAAUGGUGGAAGAAACUAGGAAUGUGAGAAGAGUGAGUCAAGUUUUCAUGAAACAGAUAAUGGAUGGACAAAGAUAGAAGAAAAAUGAAGAAGAAUUCAUUUUUUUCUCAGAGGCUACACCGGGAUUUUCCUUAUUUCUCUGCAAUUGUGGAAUUGUUCUGUGCAUGCAUGAUGAUGGAUAUAAGAAGGCAACAUAAUUUCGUGUUAUCAACAAAC